AACGCAUCUUGCGCUCCUUGGUAUUCCGAGGAGCAUGCCUGUUUGAGUGUCAUUAAAUUCUCAACUCUCUGAUACUGUUUGGUAAAAGAGAGCUUGGACUAUGGAGGCUUGCUGGCCACUCGUUUGAGGUCAGCUCCUCUGAAAUGCAUUAGCGGAACCGUUUGCGAUCUGCCACAAGUGUGAUAAAUUAUCUGCACUGGCGAGGGGAUUGCUCUCAGUAAUGUUCAGCUUCUAAUUGUCUCUGUGAGACUACUUUUGAACGCUUGACCUCAAAUCAGGUAGGACUACCCGCUGAACUUAA
rnacentral:misc_RNA from 1 species